GUGCUGCAUGGUUGUCGUCAGCUCGUGCCGUGAGGUGUCGGCUUAAGUGCCAUAACGAGCGCAACCCUUAUCGAUAGUUACCAUCAGGUUAUGCUGGGGACUCUGUCGAGACUGCCGUCGUAAGAUGUGAGGAAGGUGGGGAUGACGUCAAAUCAGCACGGCCCUUACGUCCGGGGCUACACACGUGUUACAAUGGGGGGUACAGAAGGCAGCUACACGGCGACGUGAUGCUAAUCCCGAAAGCCUCUCUCAGUUCGGAUUGGAGUCUGCAACCCGACUCCAUGAAGCUGGAUUCGCUAGUAAUCGCGCAUCAGCCACGGCGCGGUGAAUACGUUCCCGGGCCUUGUACACACCGCCCGUCAAGCCAUGAAAGCCGGGGGUACCUGAAGUGCGUAACCGCAAGGAGCGCCCUAGGGUAAAACUGGUGAUUGGGGCUAAGUCGUAACAAGGUAGCCGUACCGGAAGGUGCGGCUGGAUCACCUC
rnacentral:rRNA from 1 species